rnacentral:rRNA from 1 species
AUUGAACGCUGGCGGCAGGCCUAACACAUGCAAGUCGAGCGAGCGGCGGACGGGUGAGUAAUGUCUGGGCAACUGCCUGAUGGAGGGGGAUCACUACUGGCAACGGUAGCUAAUACCGCAUACCAUCAGAUGUGCCCAGAUGGGAUUAGCUAGUAGGUGGGGUAAUGGCUCACCGAGGCGACGAUCCCUAGCUGGGCUGAGAGGAUGACCAGCCACACUGGAACUGAGACACGGUCCAGACUCCUACGGGAGGCAGCAGUGGGGAAUAUUGCACAAUGGGCGAAAGCCUGAUGCAGCCAUGCCGCGUGUGUGAAGAAGGUUUUCGGGUCGUAAAGCACUUUCAGCGAGGAGGCGUUACUCGCCGAAGAAGCACCGGCUAACUCCGUGCCAGCAGCCGCGGUAAUAC